CUGGCGCCACGCAGCGCUGGCCCCCAUCCACACCCGCUUGAGCUCUUCGGGGUGCACCGAGACUGUGGUUAUCCUAACCACACAAACCUAGGAACCCAGCAGGGCAUCACUAACUUGACCAUGGAACCCGAUAUACAGGUCUGUGAGCCAGGGGCCUGAGGGCACAGUUCCAACGCCACAGACCCUCCGGCUGCUUCUGGAGCUGAAGUGAACCUUGCCAGGAGUAGUCAGUCUAUUUUAGGUAUGGGUGAGAGCAACUGUUCUUGGAACAGAAAAGCUCUGCUGCACCGAGCUGCAGCGGUUUACAGAGAAAUGUACGGAAAUGAGAUGGUUCCAUACCUGCCACAUACCAGAUCUACCACAUGAUAGGACGGAAAUACCAUGACUCUCAGGCAAGGCCAGCUGAAAGAGGUUCUGUAACUGUGUCAUUUGAAGAGCUAGCAAAACU